rnacentral:lncRNA from 1 species
CUCUUUUCACGAAGUUAAUGAACUUACCACAGACUGAUCCUGCUCCUAAUUUAGUUGGUGUCACUCACAGUUCUGCGGGGCUCGGGACAGAUCUGUGGAUUUCUGAGCUAAUCCCAGGUGUUAAGCGAGCAGCUGCCUUUUACCUGUGCAGGCCGAGGUUGAUGUCUUUCAGAGUGCCCUUCAGAAAGGCAUUUGGGCUUCCCUUAAAAGAGCCAAGAGGAGAAUCACUCCUUCCUCGUGUAGCUUGUUCCACAGGUUAACAACCCACAUUCUGAGACAUUUCUGCUUUAAGCAUAUCUGGCUUUCCCUCUUGACUGUUGCUUCUUGCCGUGCUUUUACAACCAGUUUUCCUGUGUUCCUUUCACACAGGAACAUCUGAACACUG